AGUGAAAGCCCGGGCUCAACCCGGGACUGCUUUGGAAACUGUUUUACUAGAGUGCAGGAGAGGUAAGUGGAUUCCUAGUGUAGCGGUGAAAUGCGUAGAUAUUAGGAGGAACACCAGUGGCGAAGGCGGCUACUGGACUGUAACUGACGUUGAGGCUCGAAAGCGUGGGGAGCAAACAGGAUUAGAUACCCGGUAGUCCACGCCGUAAACGAUGAUUACUAGGUGUCGGGGACCUACAGGUCUUCGGUGCCCAGCAAACGCAAUAAGUAAUCCACCUGGGGAGUACGUUCGCAAGAAUGAAACUCAAAGGAUUGACGGGGACCCGCACAAGCGGUGGAGCAUGUGGUUUAAUUCGAAGCAACGCGAAGAACUUACCUGGUCUUGACAUCUGGAUGACCGACGAGUAAUGUCGUCUUUCCUUCGGGACAUCCAGACAGGUGGUGCAUGGUUGUCGUCAGCUCGUGUCGUGAGAUGUUGGGUUAAGUCCCGCACGAGCGCAACCCCUAUCUUUAGUAGCCAGCAUUUAGGAUGGGCACUCUAGAGAGACUGCCGAGAUAAUCUGGAGGAAGGUGGGGAUGACGUCAAAUCAUCAUGCCCCUUAUGAUCAGGGCACACACGUGCUACAAUGGCGUAAACAAAGGGAAGCAGAGCUGUGAGGCCGAGCAAAUCCCAAAAUAACGUCUCAGUUCGGAUUGUAGUCUGCAACUCGACUACAUGAAGCUGGAAUCGCUGUAAUCGCGAAUCAGAAUGUCGCGGUGAAUACGUUCCCGGGUCUUGUACACACCGCCCGU
rnacentral:rRNA from 1 species